UACGUAGGGCGCAAGCGUUAUCCGGAAUUAUUGGGCGUAAAGAGCUCGUAGGCGGUUUGUCGCGUCUGCCGUGAAAGUCCGGGGCUCAACUCCGGAUCUGCGGUGGGUACGGGCAGACUAGAGUGAUGUAGGGGAGACUGGAAUUCCCGGUGUAGCGGUGAAAUGCGCAGAUAUCGGGAAGAACACCCGUGGCGAAGGCGGUUCUCUGGGACGGUACUGACGCUGAGACGCGAAAGCGUGGGGAGCGAACAGG
rnacentral:rRNA from 1 species